UGCCAAGGCUCAUAAUGGUGGCUAUAUUUCCAUUACCCAUGCAUUAUGCAGGCCCAACUGAAGUUCAAUGGCAUGCCAAGGCUCAUCGAUGCAGGAGCUAAUUUCUAUAUUGUCGGUCAUGAUCCAGCUGGAAUGGGUCAUUCAACAGAAAAAAGAGAUUUAUAUGAUCCUGAUCUGGGAAGAGGGUGCUAAGCAUGGCCCCUAGUCUAGAAAAACUAAAUAUUUGGCCAUUCAGGAUGCAAACAUAUGCAAGGACCGAAGAGAACCCUCCUGAUGGGUUUAUGUGCCCCAGAGGAUAGAAAGUCCUUGUCAAAUAUUAUGAAAGCUUGCAAGCAGAGGAGGCAACACAGCAGCAGGCUGUUUUAACAACUUAACACUGUAAUUUAAUAUUUGAGGUUCUGAUGAGUAAAUUCUGAGAAAAAGAAGGGAUUUAAGUGGCGAUUUUCAAGCUAGUAUGAGCAGCUACCAUAUUAUAAUCCAGCCUAUCCGAGUAAUACUUCAGUAUCCUUAUUUUCUUACUCAACCUUGUGUUUCAGGUUUUGCUUUCAACUAAAUUAUAUUUGGCAUGCCUGUAAUGCGUUGUGUUAUUAAAUCUUUCAAAGUCUUAUGCAAAUUAAAUCAUCCUCUGGCAUGUUUUCUGCGGAUAA